rnacentral:rRNA from 1 species
CUCCGGUUGAUCCUGCCGGACCCGACUGCUAUCAGAGUGGGACUAAGCCAUGCGAGUCAACAUAGCAAUAUGUGGCAUACGGCUCAGUAACACGUAGUCAACAUGCCCAGGGGACGUGGAUAACCUCGGGAAACUGAGGAUAAACCGCGAUAGGUCAUCACUUCUGGAAUGGGUAAUGACUUAAAUCUAUAUGGCCCCUGGAUUGGACUGCGGCCGAUCAGGCUGUUGGUGAGGUAAUGGCCCACCAAACCUGUAACCGGUACGGGCUCUGAGAGGAGGAGCCCGGAGAUGGGCACUGAGACAAGGGCCCAGGCCCUAUGGGGCGCAGCAGGCGCGAAACCUCUGCAAUAGGCAAAAGCUUGACAGGGUUACUCUGAGUGAUUUCCGUUAAGGAGAUCUUUUGGCACCUCUAAAAAUGGUGCAGAAUAAGGGGUGGGCAAGUCUGGUGUCAGCCGCCGCGGUAAUACCAGCACCCCGAGUGGUCGGGACGUUUAUUGGGCCUAAAGCAUCCGUAGCCGGUUCUACAAGUCUUCCGUUAAAUCCACCUGCUUAACAGAUGGGCUGCGGAAGAUACUAUAGAGCUAGGAGGCGGGAGAGGCAAGCGGUACUCGAUGGGUAGGGGUAAAAUCCGUUGAUCCAUUGAAGACCACCAGUGGCGAAGGCGGCUUGCCAGAACGCGCUCGACGGUGAGGGAUGAAAGCUGGGGGAGCAAACCGGAUUAGAUACCCGGGUAGUCCCAGCUGUAAACGAUGCAGACUCGGUGAUGAGUUGGCUUAUUGCUAACUCAGUGCCGCAGGGAAGCCGUUAAGUUUGCCGCCUGGGGAGUACGGUCGCAAGACUGAAACUUAAAGGAUUGGNCGGGGGAAGCA